ACUAAGAAUCACAGUAAAUAUUUCAAGUUUGAUUUGUAAAACUAAAUUUCAUUCGUGCUACUGAAAUCUUUCAAUUGAGACAUAUUGAAACCUUUUUGAGUUCUCCUAAUCUUCAAGAAGAAUGUUACCAUGGUAUCGUCUACGUCCAAAGAGUUGGUUUCAUAAUAUUCAAUGGGAUCGGGCUUCGGGAGAAUUUUUUAAAUGCACCGUAUUGUUCUGUCUCGGAAUAAUUCUGCUAAAGCGAUUGGGGCGUGGACUGCCCUCAUUAAAGAUUGUCGAAACCUACUUGACUCCGAAAAAAAACUAAGCGAUCGAUGACGGACAAGUGCAAUUUAUAUGGCAAAUAUUUGUUAAACAUAAAUUAAGCGAAGUCAAAUUACACUUUCAUUCACAAUGUAAUGACCAAAAUAUAAUGAAAAUAUUGGAAA